GGUAACUACGUGCACGGAGGCGGGGGAAGACGUAGGGGUCGGUCGUUGGCCGGAGUCAGUGGGCGUGAAGAGGACGAAGGCGGUUUGGCACGUCGGAUGUGAAAACCAGAAGCGCAACGUCUGGCCUGCAUCCGAUACUGCCCGACUAGAGGUAGGGAGGGGAGAUCGGAAGUCCUGGUGUAGCGGUGAAAUGCGCAGAUAUCAGGAGGAACACCGGUGGCGAAGGCGGAUCUCUGGGCCUUACCUGACGCUCAGGUGCGAAAGCUAGGGGAGCGAACAGGAUUAGAUACCCCGGUAGUC
rnacentral:rRNA from 1 species